GUCAAACACACUGAGCGCAGCAACAUGUUUUUAAAAUGGACUACAAACUGUCUUUUAUUUUUGAUUUUAAUUUAUCUUCCACACACAGGCGGAGAGAAUGUUUCCACAGUAAUCAAAGGAGAAACUGUGGAUCUGCUCUGCCACUUACCCAGUAACGACAGUGAACAAUUGAAUGUAGUGUGGACAAAAAAUAGUACGAAUAGUGCCACUACUUGUGAAUGGAUGGUUAAUGGCGUUAAUAUAUCUUCCUUAAAUAAAUGUGAUCCUCGUUUUACAUUAACCAGAGCGCCUUUAAGAGUACAAAUAAAAGAGGCUCAGCCCAGUGACUCUGGUUAUCACAGCUGUAAAACUACAAGAAUAAUUCCACCACCAUCAUCAUUGGAUUACUUCACAAAUACGUCACUCCAAGUAGUUGUUCCACAUCUGUCAUUGCAGAAACUGAACAGCAGUAAUGACACCUGUAUCCAUCUGCUCUGCUCUAUUGAGAGUCUGCAGUCUAAGCAGGUGAACUUCACCUGGAGCCGGGGUCAAAGGUCACUUCAUCCAUUCACAUCUAAUGCCACGGAGAGCGAGCUGCGUCUGUGUAAACCUGACUGGAGUGAAGGAGACAUAAUCACCUGUUACGCCAGCUACUCAAGAACACAAACCAAUACAAGUAUACAACUCAAACCAGAGAAUGGCCAAACUGAGAUCCAUCUUCUGGUAGAUGUGGUCCUUUUCAGCAUCUUCAUCAUCAGCAUCGUGUUCAUCUGGAUGUUGUUCAUCAUAUUCAAAUAUAAGUGUGAGACCUGCUGCCAUAAACUAUCAACAUGAAUCCACAUGAACAUGAUCAGAAGAAGCCAAGUCUUUCUUACCGUAAUCUUUUUAAAAGUGUUGUCUUCAGUUUUAGAUUUUUCACUAUGUGCUUUAAUGCAUAUGUUGAAUAUGUAACUUGUAGGUGGUAUGGUGUAUCAUAAACAGCACAUAUAGGCCUACUUCUCCGUAGCGUGUGUAAUUAGCAUCACUAAAGAAACAUAUUUUGAUAGUCAAAUAAUCUGUCUAUGAGCUGCAUCUGUGUAAAUCUGUGUAAGACUGGAGUAAAGGAGACACAAUCAUCUGUUACACCAACUACUCAAACACACACACAAACCCAAAGAAGUACACAACUCACCUCAAUAUAUGCUUGUGACACAGAUGGGUCAUUUUAACUACCUGGACAAACAAGAGUACAGUCUACUAGUUCAGCAAAGCUGUUCAAUGACCUUUAAGGAAUUUAAUUCAAAUAGUUUGAUAAUUAUAAACCUGCUGCUGUGAACCAUCAACAUAAGAGCAUCAGAAGAGAAGAGGCACACUGAACAAUAAGAGCAUCCAUGAAUGUUAACUGAGUUACUAUAAUAUAUGUAUUUUUUAAUGAUAGUUUUUUAUUGCUUUUUGUUUCCUAGAAAUUGAAUGUGAACUCAUUUUCCUUGAUUGUUGUUCAAAUCUAAAUAUUCCUGUUCUAUGUACUCAGUAUUACUUUUAAAUACAUUUCUAAUAUACAAAACAUUUUCUUGUCCAGUGACUGCAUUAAACCAUCCUUUUUAAUAUAAUAUAAAAGCUGAAGGUGUCAUGUGACUCUAAAUAUGCUGUCCUGCGU